AUUGAACGCUGGCGGCAUGCCUUACACAUGCAAGUCGAACGGCAGCACGGGGGGCAACCCUGGUGGCGAGUGGCGAACGGGUGAGUAAUGCAUCGGAACGUGCCCAGUAGUGGGGGAUAACUAGUCGAAAGAUUAGCUAAUACCGCAUACGACCUAUGGGUGAAAGCGGGGGAUUCGCAAGAACCUCGCGCUAUCGGAGCGGCCGAUGUCUGAUUAGCUAGUUGGCGGGGUAAAGGCCCACCAAGGCUUCGAUCAGUAGCUGGUCUGAGAGGACGACCAGCCACACUGGGACUGAGACACGGCCCAGACUCCUACGGGAGGCAGCAGUGGGGAAUUUUGGACAAUGGGCGCAAGCCUGAUCCAGCCAUGCCGCGUGCGGGGAAGAA
rnacentral:rRNA from 1 species